rnacentral:RNase_P_RNA from 1 species
GAACAUGGCCGAGUAAUGGGUCAUUGAUGAAGAUCUUUGACAGGAAAGUCCGGACAGCCGAGUAGAGGGUGCGUGGUGAAAGCCACGACUAGUUUAAUUACUAGCUAGUUAGAGCAACAGUGACGAACUGGGUAACGCCAGCUGAAACGAUCAAGUUUUUGGAUAAUUAAUCAGCAAUGAUUAAUUGGCAAUCCUCCCCGCUGCGAGCAACGAUUUUGACCUAAAUGGACCUACUCCCUUUAUUUCUUUUAGAAUGAGGUCAUAAAGUUGUGCCUAGACAAAUCAUUACUAAUCAAACAGAAUCCGGCUUAUGAGCCAUGUUCACUG